GCCGCAAUUCCUAAAGACAAGACUACACACCAAUCCUCCUAAGACAGUACACAAUAUACUCACUAUUUUAUCUCAAGAUCACCAUACGACACACACACACGGCAUAAUACAGAGCUCCGUACAAACACCCAUGUGAGCUCUACAAGCCAUUUCCUUCGUCCUCCUUCUCCGACCCCACGUCGUCAACCAAAAAAUCUGUUUAUUUAGCGGAAUACAGUAAAGACGUUAUUUUUGCUAAAAAUGAAGGUCUAUUCUUUCCUAUAGUUACUGUUUCAAUAUUGUUGUAUAUGUAUGUUGUCCUUUUGAUUAGUACUAACUUAUGCCAUGGAUUUUCAUUGUGUUAAAUAUUGUUUCUAGUUAAUUAAAGGUUUUGCAUGAUUGGAGUUAAUGUUUAAAUUACAAAAGUUCGUUUUGGGUGCUGUGUUAUGAAUGUGAAAGCUUGGAAAAUCGUUUGUUUUGAUAUAAAUUAGAUCUUCGGCCUGUGGGAUGCUUUAGAUUUAACAUAGCCUAUUUGGGUAUGGGGACAAAAAUCAGAUUUUUGAGUUUUGGUUUCUUUGCUUGCUUUUGAAAGUAAAAUUGUACGUAUGUGUUAAUUUGCUUGGUAUUAGUUCACUGUUUAUAAAUGUUAAAGUUAAGAUAUUGAUAUCAUUGGCAAACAUUAGUAAAAGAAGAAUAAAGAAACAGAUAGUGUUUAAGCCAAAGAAUGGAUUUAAUAUCAUGUUUAGUCAUUUGAUUAGCUGUUAUUCGAGCUUGGUGAACGAUCCUUUGAGGGUUGAGUUUUUAAGUCAUUUGGUUUCUGUUUGUUUAAUAAAUAUUUAGCCGUGGUUAAUUUGUUGAGAUGAAAUGGCUUUGAGUUGGUGGAUUUAAAACGCGGAGAAGAAUAAGUUAGGGCCUAUACGUAAGUUUAAGGCCCAAUUAAUUAAUUUUUAGUGUGAGAUGAGCGAGACGAGAUGCGAAUUAUUUCAAGUCUCGUUGUCAAGUAUAAAAGAAAAGAAUGGUAAAAUCAAUUGUAAGGAAGCGAGAUGGGUUGCGAACAUGUUUCAAAACCCAUUGUCAAAACAGUGAAAAAUAUUAAUUAAUAAUAAGUCUCAAAUUUUAGAGACAAAUAAUUGCUUCCAACGUUAGACUCUUUAGUCGCGUUUUAAAUUGUGUUGGCCGUGUGUGUGGAGCCACUCCUCGAUCAAAUGCAUAUAAUUAAAGAAGAGUCAUGUGGAUCAUCCCGCUCCUUGACCCUCUAAUAAUAAUUGUAUUGACCACGUGUGUGGACCCGCUUCUCGGUUAAAUGCAUAUAAUUAAAGAAAUGUCAUGUGUGCCAUCCCACUCCUUGACCCUCUAAUAAUAUAUAAUUAAUGGAAGACUCUGUGUGCAUACUCACUCCUAGGUAUAAACAAUUAAAAUACAUUUUAUCCGAGAAUUAAUUAUAACCAAGUUUAAGUUGAUAAAAACGACCGUGCUAGAACCACGGGACUCGAGAAAUGCCUAAUAUCUUCUAAUCGGUCAAUAAAAUUCCUUACCCGGUCUUUUGUUUUCACGGAACAGAAAAUAAAGAUUCAUUUCCUUUUGAUUAGGGAUUCAAUAAGGUGACUUGGAAUACCAAAACUCAAUUCCAAGUAACGACUCUGUAAAUAAAUUAUCGCUUUUCAAAAUUGUCACUUCAAAUGGAAAAACCCUUUUAAUAAAUAAAAACAUGUGUUUGUUUAUCCGGCGGAGCCUAAAAAGGGGUGUGACAUCUCUGGCGACUCCGCCGAAUUCAGGGGUAGAUGUAGACACAUGAUUUUUAACCCUCCCAGGACUUUUUCACUGUCUUAAUGUCUAUUUUCCUUUUAGUCUAAUCUUUGACAUUUUAACUUUUAUUUUUAAUUUAGUAGGUUUAUUUGUGGAAAAGAAAAGGGACAAAAAAUAUUCACUAAUUUUUAGAGUACAAGUUUUGUGUCUCAACGAAAGAAAAAUUACAAAAGUAGAUUUCUUUUAUUCUAGUAGUUUUGGUUAAUUACUUUUGAGUUUUAAUCAGUAUAAUUAUUUAGAUUUUUCUUAUUUUUGUAGUUGAUUAAUAUAUUUAUAGUAGUGUUUUUAUUUAUCCAUUUUAUGAAAAAGAAAAUCAAAAAUAGAAAACCAAUAGUAUAUUAUCACUUCGCAAAAUUCUAUCUUAUUCACACCAAAAGGCACAUUCCAUUUGGGAAGGGAAUAUUCCAUUCUCCUUCCCAAGAUAUUUUGGAGAUUUGACUACAAAUAUGUAUGAUAUUAAUAUAAAGAGACCUAACCUAGACUAGACAUUAAUCACACUAAUCUCUACACCUAAAAUCAUCCUUAUAGAUCAUAUACCCAACACAUAAUAACCUAGACUAAAGACUUUCACACUACAGGAUUCAUCCGCAACAUCCACGAAAAAAGCUUAGCAGCUCCAUCUUCCUUUUAGAUUAGGUUGCCGACAAUCAUACUCAUCUUUCUCAUCAAUCAUCACCAAGAAGCCACCAUUAGAGCUUCAUCUUUAUCAUGUAAAACCGCUGAAACCAAGCUCCUUUAGCCAUUCAAACACCACCUCUUCAUCCCUUUCUACACCAAAGCAGCCCGUGGAACCAUCGGCCUAUAACCCACCUAUUUCCAUCUCAAACAAUGUAGAAACACCCUUUAAACUUCAACAAAAACCAGCCCAAAACAGUCAUGUACACUGCUAGAAUAUCAUGGUUUUCGGACAGCCGUUGUAGUCAGAAUGUAGUCGGUAUAUAAGGAUUUCCGACACUCUACCGACCAUUUUCAAGUAGUCAGAAAAUGGCUAGUUGGAACAUAUUUUUCGACUACAGUAAUCGGGCAAUGUAAAAUAAUGAACGACCACAACAAUUUAUAUAUCUCGACUACAGUAGUCGAAACAUUAAUAAAAUAAUUAUUUAAUAAAUAUAUAUAUUUCGACUACGGUAGUCAGAACAUUUAAAUUAUUAAAUCUUUAAAGGGUGUUUCUACUAUUUUAGAGAUGGAAAUAGGUGGGUUAUGGGCUGGUGGUUCCACGUAGGCCUAUGCACGAAUCAGUUCGGUUCAGUUUUGGCCAUAAUUGAGUUGAAAUUUUGAAUUUCGACUUUCUAAAAUCCUCAACCAAACUCGAUCCAUUCUAGGUUCAAUUCGAUUCGUUUUUUAUUAUUUCGGUUCAAUUACACAAAUCGAUUUGUUCGGUUUAUUCGAAAUUUAAACAAUUCAUUUCAGUUUUAGAGUAAACAUAACAAAAAAUAACGAGAUUCUAAAUUUGCAGCCUUAUAACCAAGACAUUAACCAAGAAAAAAUCAUAAACUUGUAAGCAUAAUAGCAUAUAAAUAGAAAAACAAGAGCUUGACAACUUGUGCAAGCAUACAAAUCCGCCAACACCACAUUACAUGUACCAAAUUAAUAAUCCAGCAUCUUGCAACUUGCAAGCAGACAAGCAUAAUUUGCAUCCUCAAAAAAACAAAAACAGAAAACUUUAAUUUGUACAGGCUAAGAUCAAAGAACAAACAAACCAGGGGUGGAGGCAAUGGCCAAAAGGCAAAGAUGACCCGUGAGAAGAACGCUGAAAAGAUGAAAGACCAAAAGGGAAGUCAGCUUGAGGCCAACAAGAAGGCCAUGAAUAUCUGAUACAAGGUGUGCAUGCCGACAUUCAUUUGCACCCUUUCUGAAGUUAAAUAAAUAUUACUUCAGUAUUAAUUAUUAAGCAUAUAUAUAGUUAGACUAUUAGAGUAUUAGUCAUAUUAAGCACUAGUGGCAUAUAAAUUCGGUUUGUUCGAGUCGGUUCGGUUGAUAAUUGAAGCCAAUCGUAUUCGAACCAUUAAAUCGUAAUAUUUUAUAAUUGCAUUUGUAAAUCGAAAUCGAAUUGUAUUAUCCAAAUUGAAUUAUCCGAAUUGUUUCGAAUCGGUUCGGAAAUUCGGAUUGAACCAAUUUGUGCACAGACCUAGUUCCACGGGCUAGUUUGGUGUAGAAAGGGAUGAAGAGGUGGUGUUUGACUGGCUAAAGGAGAUUGGUUUCAGUGGUAUUAUAUGAUAAAGAUGAAGCUCUAAUGGUGGCUCCUUGGUGAUGAUUGGCGAGGAAGAUGAGUAUGAUUGUCGGCUACCUAAUCUAAAAGGAAGAAGGAGCUGCUAAGCUUUUUCGUGGAUGUUGCUGUUGAAUCUUAUAGUGUGAAGGUCUUUAGUCUAGGUUAUUGUGUGUAGGGUAUAUGAUCUAUAAGUAUGAUUUUAGGUGUCGAGAUUGGUGUGAUUAUUGUCUAGUCUAGGUUUGGUUUCUUUCUAUUUAUAGCAUACAUAUUUGUAGUCAAAUUCUCAAAAUAUCCUUUUGAAUAAAAAUAUCUUGGGAAGGAGAAUGGAAUAUUCCCUUCCCAAAUGGAAUGUGCCUUUUGGUGUGGAUAAGAUGAAAUUUUGGCAAGUGGCAAUACACUAUUAGUUUUUCUCUUUUUGAUUUGUUUUUUUUUUUUUUAAAAUUAUGCCCGAUUAGGCUUUUUAUUUAUUCAGCAAAAUCCAAAACAAAAUAAAAUGAGUUGAGCCCAUAAUCAGGCCCAAUCCCAAAUAAUGAAAAAACAAAAAGGCCCAUUUGACUUAUAUCCUAUAACAGAUUUAGGAAAGUAAAAGUUGUGCCCUAUAUGCAUUUGUUGACUUGAUAUUCUCGAUUCUUCAUCUUCUUGGUCGAUGCCGGUGUGGAAAUGAUGAAGCUGCCGGAGACGUCUAAUUUGAUCCACACCUCUAUAGCUUGCAUUGAUGUGUUGUUGAUGUUGAAGUUGAACUCGAUUUCUUCAUGUGUUGGAUCUGUGCUCGAUUUGACCUGAAUCGAGGUGCCCCUGAGCUCAUCUUGUUGUUCUUGUUCUUCAUGUCGUGGAUCUUUCCUCGAUUUGACCUGAAUCGAGGUGCUCCUGAGCUCAUUGUGUUGUUUCCAUCUCUAUUCAACCUUUAUUUGAAUGUAUUCAAGCUCCGAUCAGCAAGGUCCGGUCGUCAUAAGAGCGAAUGUAUUUGACUAUAUUUGAAUGUAUUUCAACAAAAUUUCAGAUACACUGUAUUUACUCGAAAAAAUUGUAUACACACAUAUGUCUAUAGAUCAUUCAAACAACACAUACAAUCAAAUACAUCCAGUUUGCACCCAAAAUAUAAUCAGCCAAAUACAUAUAUUUACUCUAAAAAAAUGAUGAAUACACUCAAAUACACUGAGAUUUGAGAUACAAGAAGGAGGAGAAGCCAUGGAUUCUGGCCAGACGAAUACACUCAGAUCUGAGAUACAAGAAGGAGAAGAAGCCAUGGAUUCCGGCAUCUCCGUCGAGAUCAGUGAUGAGCAGGCCUUAUUAUCCAACUCAUCACCGGAGGCUACAUUGUGUGUGUGUGAUUUCAGAUCUGGAACUCAUUACCAAUGCCUCUG